rnacentral:rRNA from 1 species
AAUCUGGCUCUUUUAGAGUCCGAGUUGUAAUUUGCAGAGGGCGCUUUGGCUUUGGCAGCGGUCCAAGUUCCUUGGAACAGGACGUCACAGAGGGUGAGAAUCCCGUACGUGGUCGCUGGCUAUUGCCGUGUAAAGCCCCUUCGACGAGUCGAGUUGUUUGGGAAUGCAGCUCUAAAUGGGAGGUACAUUUCUUCUAAAGCUAAAUAUUGGCCAGAGACCGAUAGCGCACAAGUAGAGUGAUCGAAAGAUGAAAAGCACUUUGGAAAGAGAGUCAAACAGCACGUGAAAUUGUUGAAAGGGAAGCGCUUGCAGCCAGACUUGCUUACAGUUGCUCAUCCGGGUUUCUACCCGGUGCACUCUUCUGUAGGCAGGCCAGCAUCAGUUUGGGCGGUAGGAUAAAGGUCUCUGUCACGUACCUCCUUUCGGGGAGGCCUUAUAGGGGAGACGACAUACUACCAGCCUGGACUGAGGUCCGCGCAUCUGCUAGGAUGCUGGCGUAAUGGCUGUAAGCGGCCCGUCUUGAAAAACGG